rnacentral:rRNA from 1 species
UGGGGAAUAUUGGGCAAUGGGCGAAAGCCUGACCCAGCGACGCCGCGUGGGUGAUGAAGGCCUUCGGGUUGUAAAACCCUUUCGUGCGGAAAGAAUAGUCCUGUAGCGAAUAACUACGGGAUUUGAUGGUACCGCAGGAAGAAGCACCGGCUAACUCCGUGCCAGCAGCCGCGGUAAUACGGAGGGUGCAAGCGUUGUUCGGAAUUAUUGGGCGUAAAGGGCGCGUAGGUGGUUGUGAUAGUCAGAUGUGAAAUCCUUCGGCUCAACCGAAGAACUGCAUCUGAAACUUCAUAGCUCGAGUGCGGGAGAGGGAAACGGAAUUCCCGGUGUAGAGGUGAAAUUCGUAGAUAUCGGGAGGAACACCAGUGGCGAAGGCGGUUUCCUGGCCUGAUACUGACGCUGAGGCGCGAAAGCGUGGGGAGCAAACAG